GGGCCCGCACAAGUGGUGGAGCAUGUGGUUUAAUUCGAUGCAACGCGAAGAACCUUACCAACCCUUGAAAUCUAGCGAAGUUCACAGAGAUGAGAAUGUGCCUUCGGGAACGCUAUGACAGGUGUUGCAUGGCUGUCGUCAGCUCGUGUCGUGAGAUGUAUGGUUAAGUCCAGUAACGAGCGCAACCCCUAUCCUUAUUUGCCAGCGCGUUAAGGCGGGAACUAUAGGGAGACUGCCGGGUGAAACCCGGAGGAAGGCGGGGACGAGGUCAAGUCAUCAUGGCCCUUAUGGGUUGGGCUACACACGUGCUACAAUGGGAAGUACAGAGGGAUGCGAAAGCGCGAGCUGGAGC
rnacentral:rRNA from 1 species